ACAUAAGGGGUACAAUGGUGAAGAUGACUAUAAGCGAGGUACUUGCCAAGGUGAAAAAAUGUAUAUAUACCGAACUUCUUCCGGGCUGUACCGAUGUGUCACAAGGAAGAAAUGGCCAAAAGACUCAACGUGGAGAUCAUGUUGGCUAUGCUUUCACAUGUCGGAAGGGCACAAAUACUCACUACGGAUUUUUCGCGGUGGGCACUCGGUGUAAGCAUCUCGUCGAAGGAGAAACAUAUGUAAAUGGUACGUUCGUACAAGAGAACAGUGACAAAGUCCUUUGCAAGCAAAGCCAACUUCCCCCAGCCUGUCAAUACAUCAAGUUCUGAAAGUUCAUCAACGUGGAAGAUCCAAUGCUGCAAAUCGCUCCUGCGAAUAAACGCCUAGAACUGUC